rnacentral:lncRNA from 1 species
AUGGGCACCCCCUGUAGGAGGAGGAAGGAAGCAGCCUCCCUGGUGCCGUGCACACACCGUGGGCUUUCUAGCGGAUUCCAGGCACAGACGCCCACCAGGAUUCCAGGGCCCCGCGUGCCACCCAGCUGGCCCGGCAGGAAGCAGUCGGAUUCCGAGGAAGGGCUCCACCCGAAGGUGCCGCCAGGUCGCGUCAGGUCCCUGCCCCUGACGAGGGGCACAGAAGUCAAUCAGAAGCAGCACGUGGAACACGAGGACGGGCUGUCCCCCCUGCUCGGUGCUAAGCAGAGAGACUUAUCACCUGAGAGACUCGACUACGUCCGCCUGCAUCUGGAUAACACACACACAGCUCCGGGAGCCUCCCCAGAACCGGAGGACCCAUUCUCAGAGCAAUUAAGGACAGCUUUCUGUCAUCAGCCCCCACGGUGA